GGGGCUUGCUCUCGGGGGGAANUGUUCAUAUGCGNAGUAAGGCAGGGAAAAAUUACCCCGCGGUCAGGGAUAGCCAUUCUAACGAAUGGGUAAUACUUGAUGGUCCGGCGACGGGACAUCCCGAUGCCGGUAAAGACUUAUCGCCGUGGGAGGGGCCCAUGUAGUAUUAGCUUGUUGGCGGGGUAACGGCCCACCAAGGCUGAGAUGCUUAGCGGGUGUGAGAGCACGACCCGCGCCACUGGCUCUGCGACACUGGCCAGACUCCUACGGGAGGCAGCAGU
rnacentral:rRNA from 1 species